CCACCGCCCGCGCUCCGCCCCCAUCGGCCGCCCGCGCUCGAUUGCUCUUGUCUGGCGGCGGCAGCAUGGCGGCGGGGGCGGCUGAGGCGGCGGCGGCGGCGGUGGUGGAGGUCGGCUCAGCUGGGCAGUUUGAGGAGCUGCUGCGCCUCAGAGCCAAGUCUCUUCUUGUGGUCCAUUUCUGGGCACCAUGGGCUCCUCAGUGCGCUCAGAUGAACGACGUGAUGGCAGAGCUCGCCAAAGAGCACCCACAAGUUUCAUUUGUGAAGUUGGAAGCGGAAGCUGUUCCUGAAGUAUCUGAAAAAUAUGAAAUUAGUUCUGUUCCCACCUUUCUGUUUUUCAAGAAUUCUCAGAAAAUCGACCGAUUAGAUGGUGCCCACGCCCCAGAGUUGACCAAAAAAGUUCAGCGACACGCGUCUAGCGGCUCCUUCUCGCCCAGUGGUAGUGAGCACCCGAAGGAGGACCUCAGCCUGCGCCUGAAGAAGUUAACCCACGCCGCCCCCUGCAUGCUGUUCAUGAAGGGGACGCCUCAGGAGCCGCGUUGCGGUUUCAGCAAGCAGAUGGUGGAAAUUCUUAACAAACAUAAUAUUCAGUUUAGCAGUUUCGACAUCUUCUCAGAUGAAGAAGUUCGUCAGGGUCUCAAAACCUAUUCCAAUUGGCCCACCUAUCCCCAGCUCUAUGUUUCUGGAGAGCUCAUAGGAGGACUUGAUAUAAUUAAGGAGCUAGAAGCAUCUAAAGAACUAGAUACAAUUUGCCCCAAAGCCCCCAAGUUAGAGGAAAGGCUCAAAGUACUGACAAAUAAAGCUUCUGUGAUGCUGUUUAUGAAAGGAAACAAACAGGAAGCUAAGUGUGGCUUCAGCAGACAGAUUUUGGAAAUACUAAAUAGUACUGGGUUUUGAAAUUGCACGUACACUCAGUCUUCCUGCAGGGAUCCAGUCACACACGCUUACUAAUUCCUUGACCGCCUUGUCAUGAAACCCUCCUGAGUAGAUGUGGUUGAAUUUUCACUCGUUUAUACAAGUAGCGUCCAUCACACGGCAUAAAGCCACAGCACUUGCCCUGGUUGUGUGCGUCGUGGAAAUAGCACGUGUGUUCUGAAGUAGAUCAUGCUCUGUGGAAGGCUCAUUUCCAGAGGGGAGCUGGCUGGGGGUGUGUCCCCGAGCUGGUGAACUCCCAGCCUCCAUCCCUGGGUGCCGCAGGGCUGCUCCCUCCUGCUCCCGAAGCAGAGAAAAUCCAGAAAAAUUUGUAUCUUGGGAUGACUUAUUCUGUCAAGUACAAGACAGAUAAAGAGGAUUGAAUAUGAGACAUUUGAUAUAUUGGAGGAUGAAGAAGUUCGGCAAGGAUUAAAAGCUUACUCCAAUUGGCCGACGUACCCUCAGCUGUAUGUGAAGGGCGAGCUUGUCGGAGGACUGGACAUCGUUAAGGUGAGG